AAGAUAUUUCUUACAAAAUAUUUCUACACAGAAAAUUUUAGAUUUAUACAUGUGCUCUAACAAAUUUAGAUAUUUUGACAAAGAACUUCUAGUAUCUAGAAGCUCGAUAUUAAGACUCCUCCAAAAAUAUCAUUUAUAUUUGAGCUUAUUUCUUGGGCUCGACUUGGGCUUCCAGAAUAUUUCAAAAAAAUAUCAAUGUGAAUUUUUUUGUGUUGCUAAGUUUCAGUUCACAUGACACAAUCUUAGAUUGUUUUCACUUUAUCUUCUUACCCAAGAUUGUUCUCACUUUCUGCUCCUUGAUGGCUGGUGCUUUAUUUUUAUGGUAGCUGGUGCUUUAUUUUUAUGAACCUAAUUGAAGCAUUCCAUCGAACACGUGGAAGCCACUGAAGCAUUAUGUUUUUUAAGCCAAUUUUUCCAAUUACAGUUGGAAAGCAAAGAGGGUAAACAGAUAUUUGUUAAAUGCAGUAAAGAGGGUAAACAGAUUUUUAUUAGGAUCAAAGUAACGUCAAAAAAUAAGGAAGAUUAUUAGGGCGAGAAUGAAUGGUUUACCUGUUUCAAUCGUGGGCAGCGUCCUUGUGGUCGCCGGGGUUUUCGGAAAUGGCGUUGACAACGGCUGGAGGGUGGUCGCUGGGUUGGGUGGUGGUGUGGCAACAGGAGCGAACAGGAGAGAGGAGUGGGAGAGAGAGAGAGGAAGGGGAGAGGGAGGGAGGGAGAGAGCGGGAGAGUAACUUUGGAGGAAGACAGAAAACACGGUGGAGAGAGGAAGCACGAUGGAGAAAAAUACAAUGAUCGUAAUCGGUUUUUCAAUCCAACGAUCGUAACCUAUUGAAUUUGCGAUCCAACGGUUGGAGGGGUGCUCAUGUUUGUAUGAGUAGACAAAAGUCUGCUCUGUUUAAUAAUAUAGAUAAACUAGUGCUUGCCCGUGCUUACGGCACUACGCAACCUCGGUUGGAAUUGUCCGUGCUUAUGGCACUUGCUAGUUAGUGGCUCAAACAUUAGCGUGUAGUAUGUGAUCCUUUUCUUAAUGGCACAAAAGAGAAUUACCCGUGCUUAUGGCACUCCCCCAGCUAUACAUUUAAGCUAGCUACAAAGAACUAUCAAUUUGCUUAUGGAAUUCCAGUAAAUAAAUACCAGGAAAAAAGUUAAAACCAAGCAGCACAUCAGUUAGUGCUCUGUAUCAACGAAAUCAGAAAAAAUCUAAGCACACCAGCCAGUGCUCUGCAUUUAACAACAUAAGAGCAGAUAUAAGUACACCAGCCAGUGCUCUGCAUUUAACUACAGAAGAACAGAUAUAAGCUCACUAGCCAGUGCUCUGCAUAUAUAAUAAGGAAAUACUUACGAAUCUGAAGCAUCGCGAUUCGACAUACUCUUUCCUUCCAAUGCGACCUUCGCUUUUCUUCCAUUUCACUUUUGUGCACCUCGUUGCCUACAACAAAAGAGGUAUAUGAAAGGAUUGAAAUCUAUAUAGAAGACCGUGGCGUGUGCCAUUUCACUUUAGUGUCUCUACUUUUGUGUCCCCACUCAACACUAUAAAAAAGAAGAAGAAGAAAACUCUCUGUUUCUGUGUCCCUAUUUUUUUAGAUUAGUAUUCCCGUGUCCCCGUGUCCAUGUCCGUGUUCGUAUCGGUGUCCGUGCAUCAUAGUAUCCCAUUAACGUAGGUGUCUGUGUCCGUAUUCGUGUCCAUUUCCGUGUCCGUGCAUCAUAGUAUCCCGUGUCCUCUCUUUUCCUUUCCUUAAUUUCUUUUCUUUUCCUUAAGGUUUCAAACAGAGCCUACGUUUUGACAACCGAAACCAACAAAGCAGUCACAUUUUUUUUCCCACUUCACGUGGCACUUCAAGUGCAGGCCAAACUAUGUUAUGACUGGUGAAUCAAAGUGCAGGCCAAACUACGCAUCAAGUGAAUGCGUGGUUUUUCACAAAUUCAUUCUUAGGUGUGGUGCAAGCAAAUUUUUUGGUGAAUAUCACCGGACCAACGAUGCACACCUCGACUACUUUAUGGGAGAGAGAUUAAUCCUACUGUCGAUGCGAAUUGGUCCGUUCAAAACCCCCGUAUAACAAAGAAAGAAACAAAUGCCUACGUAUUUUGCUGGUUCUUUAUUCUUCCCACGUGACAUGAUCAGACCCUCCCAGCUCUUUGUAAAUUUAACUGUGUGUUUAGCUUUGAAACUUAUGAUCAAUUUUCAAACGAACGUUAAAAUGGCCAAACUACAGAAAAUCAACCAAUUUUGGUCCGUCAUGAAAAAGGCAGACAAAUGGCCAAACUACGCCACAGGGAAGAAGCUAUAGAUAUACCCUAACAACCUAAUCAACCAAUUUUGGGACAAAAAAAAGCCCCCUGUACCCUAACAGACUCUACACAUGCCUUUUAACAAAUACAUGGUGGCCAAGAAGUUUAACAGGUACAAAUUAAAAAUACCUCUCAUAACUCUCACAUUUGUCUUUACUUUUUUCCACGUUCUCAAUCCUAAUUAAUGGACUUUUUUCCACAUUCUCAAUCCUAAUUAAUGUUAUCUUAAACUAAUUAAUGGUACACUCUUCAUAACUGUUUGAUUUCAAUCGAUGAGGACAACAUCGCGGCUGCGGCACCCGAAAGCUAUAACUGCUCUCACAAAUCUGCCACCAAAAGAGGAAUGUUUGCAAUUGCCGAAAACGUAAGCUAUAACAGUUUGAUUUCAAUCGAUGGGGACAGCAUCGCGGCUGCAGUAACCGAAAGCUAUAACUACUCUCACAAAUCUGCCACCAACAGAGGAAUGUUUGCAAUUGCUGAAAACGUAAGCAUUUCAUCAAACACUUCGUACGCACAUAAGUGCGGUGGUGGUGGUGUGUCGGAGUGGCUAGGGGUCAAUGUGGGAGUAAGAGAGGGACAAUCGAGAGAGUGAGGGAGGGGAGAGGAGGAGAAGAAGAGAGGAGGCGUUUGGGGGCUAAGGGGAGAGAGAGAGAAGAGGAAAGAGGCGAUGGUGGUGGGUCGUCGGAGGUAGGAAGGGGAAACGGUAGUGAGAGAGAGACAUAGGCGUCUGUCUAAGAGAGGGUUUUUUUUUUUAUCUAAAAUUUGAAACGUAAAAGGAAGUGGGAUGGCAGUUGUGUAAUUUAGGCUAAAAUCAUGGGCAAUUAACCGGGAAUAUAGGAGGAUGCAUCACAACUUUUGAAUCAAAUGAAUUUCAGCCGUUGGAUGUGUUUGUAUUUGUAUGGAGGCUCACACCGUCCUGUUUUAUU